UGGCUCAGUAGUAGAGCACCUGCCUUGCAAGCAGGAGGCCCUGGGUUUGAUACCCCAG
rnacentral:tRNA from 1 species